rnacentral:lncRNA from 12 species
GGUUAUCUGUUUGCAACCAUGACCAGUCUAGUGUAUACUAGUGUGUACUGCUGGGACUCUGAUGAGACCUGAUUUCCUUGAAGUCACAGGUCAGCACUGGACAGUUACCUUAGAGAUUCUGGUGUGCUGUGAUAGUAGCCACAUGCUCCAGCCACUAGAAAUGCUUCUAUAAGCUUUUAAGAGUAUAGUCUUAUUCUUACCUUCUUUCCUUCCUCUCAUAGUGUGCCUCACUUCAUUAACAGUUCUUGGAGUUCAAGCUUUGAUGAAUUUCACUAUUUUAAAUCCUUUGAUAUUAAUGGAGUUCUUUUUGUGCAUGAAAGUAGAAGUUGGUCCUGAAAGCGUAACUCAUGUCUGGACAGGGCAGAAACAACUGUCUGAUAUUCAGAGCAGGCUAAACAAUACAGUGUUCUCCACUUUUCGUUCUAGGCAUUCAGGGAAGUUUGUGGAAAUCUCAUUUAUUUGAUUUUGUAGUGCUUCACCCAGUUUAUGUUACCUUUGUUUCCUGGAUGACACUGCUGGUCAAGGAUUCGCUUCUCCUGUUAACAAUUGCUGCCCCAUUAACAGAGCAGAAAACCCUAAAAAUUAUUUUAUCACUUGUUUGACUUUGCUCACAUCACAUAGGGCUUUUGAUCAAAAACAUCUAUACAAUUGCAUGAUGCAUAUUUUUCUUUGUUACAGCUUACCAAUAAAAUGCCUGAUUCUAUUUAAUUCAUGUUACCUGUAAACAACUGAAGUAUGGUGGACAUCAGUAAAUAAUUUCUGUUGAGAAAAAGAAUGCCUAUGCAUCCCUUAUCCCCUUCACCAACAAUCUCUCUCUUUCAUAUGUGAUAGUGUAGUUUAGAUGCUUUGAUAACUGUACAGUAAAGGAAGAAAAUGUGAAUAAAAUAAAUGGAAAAAAGUAAAUUCUAUUUCCAGUUGUGAAUCUUGGAACAAACUGUAAAAGCUGAGAGUAGCCACAUGAUGAUGAAGAACAUAUUAUCUCUAUUUUACAGGCAGAAAUACUUAGAUAUGAGAAGAUUAGGUAAUUUUUCCCAAGGUCACACAGAAAACAUGGAAAAAAGAACAAAUAGAAUCUUGAAGCUUCUUGAAUCUUCAAACUAUUAUUCAUUUUUCCAGGACUGUCAAUCCUCCUCUUGCAUUUUCUUUGCUCUGCAAGCUGGGUAUGUCGAAUUUCUGUGCUGUGUCUCCAGCAGAGCCGUGGUGCUGCCAGAACUGCUGUAAACAAAGUAAGUGUUUUCCUAUAAAACGCAAACAAAAUUUGUAUAAA